rnacentral:rRNA from 1 species
AGAUGGCGACCGGCGCACGGGUGAGUAACACGUAUCCAACCUGCCGAUAACUCGGGGAUAGCCUUUCGAAAGAAAGAUUAAUACCCGAUGGCAUAAUAGAACCGCAUGGUGGAACUAUUAAAGAAUUUCGGUCAUCGAUGGGGAUGCGUUCCAUUAGGUUGUUGGCGGGGUAACGGCCCACCAAGCCUUCGAUGGAUAGGGGUUCUGAGAGGAAGGUCCCCCACAUUGGAACUGAGACACGGUCCAAACUCCUACGGGAGGCAGCAUG